GUGAGAGAGGCUAAGAGAAGCAAGGUUGUUGAGGUGGAAAUAGUUCAUUUUGCAGUCGGUGGUAGUUUGUCGUUUAGAUUUGUUACAGUAUCACCUUUGUGCAUAUUCGUAAAAACAAAAUAGCUCUGUGAAAACGUUACCAGGUUUUGGUCAGUAACUACACAAGAACUACUGACAAAAUAGUUUGUGAAACAUCAAUUUUUUUAUUCAGUUGAACAGGCGUUGCUGACCAAGUGAACAGACUGCAGGGGAAGUAAACUUAGCUAGCCUGACUUGACAGUGACUAUAUCGGAGAAAUCCUCAGCAGAGUCACAUCUACGUCGGAAUCCUCAGCAGAGGCACAUCUACGUCGGAACAUUUUAAUCUUCUUUCUACCAGAUACAGAAAAUGGGCAUCCCCCUCAUUCCUGAUUCCGAAGACAAUCAUAUUUCCUUAUCUCAUCACCGGAGGACCUUCAAGGUCACAAGAACGUACAGGGAGCUAGUAAAGAAGAGGGUCCUCAAGCAGGAAAUGCGAGUUUGUAUGAAAAUGCGAAGAAUUCACGAGUAUCGUCGACUUCGAUCCAUGGUGCCAAGCAUCGCUAAAAGGCCACACGUACCCAAGGUAACGGUAAUAGAAGAGGCCAUCCGCUAUAUUGACCACCUUCACAAUGCUCUUCUCAUGAAACUAAGAACACGAGGUUUGCCUUCUUGUCUGCAAGGUGUGAAUAUUGAUAUGAACAAUUUCGGCCACCCUCAACUUCAAGAUCUGGUUCGACAUUUGAUGAAUAAUUCCAAGACUUCCUCUAUAAAUUAUCCUGCGUGUUUUUCAGGAAGUGCCUGCCAAAAAAUCAGAUCUGUACCUUCUUACUUGCUUCGAAAAAGGAAAAAGCAAACGUAAAAACCAGUUGAUUUGAGUGAUUUAGAUAUCGAGAAAAAGGGCAUGCAGGUUCGUCGCUUCCUUCGUUUUUCUCUUGGCAGUCUUACAAUAUCUUCUGUUGGAAUUGGAGUCGCCUGUGUUAAAUCUCUCAGUACGAACAACAUGGGAGUAAUAUGAUCCAGAUAGCGAGGGCACAUCAAUUGUUCCUUACUGUCACUUAUGUUUACCAGUCAGACGAUCUUCUGAACUCUGUUAUCUAUUGUACUCUCAAGUAUAACAUAGAAUUUCAAGUCAGGCGUAACAAGUCAGUAUUGUAUGUAUGAGGUGGCGAAUUUCAACAUCAUCACUGUGAGAAUCUAGUGGUUUUUAGUAUGAAAAGUGGUUUGUAUCAUCCGAGGGUUGUUUUCAUAGUAUACUAUUAAUAAAUUACGGCCUUUUGGAACUUUGGGAAUCCUUAUACAUUUAUUUAUGUAUAGUGUGGAAAAGUUUGUAAUGAGUAACGGAAACCACAUCUGAUGGAAGCGACGAACGACGUGUGCAAAUAUUCGUACAAAGUAACUUCGGUGUACAUACAUAUGUAAAAAAUGUACAUAAGGUAUACAAGAUAUGUUGGAAAUUAGCAUGUUAUGUAAAAAUAUGGUUUGCGGUGUAAAAACCGACGGCUUUAAAAUUCCUGUAAUGAAAGAUGAAAGUUCUAUGUUCAUGAUUUAUAUGUGACACGAUGCUUUUGUAGAACCGUUCUUGAUCAAUAAAUGUUUUUGAUGAAACGAGAAAAAAUCAAA